CACGGAGCCAAAUCUGGUCGGAUAAAGAGACCCUUGCUACCCAUGUGCGGAACUAGCUUACCGAAAACUUACCUCUGUGACACUCCACUUCCAAGCUUUCGGUCAAGGUCAAAUGUUCCUGUGUUUCUUAUAUUGUGUCUACCAGAGGAGGGGUAUGGGUGGCUAAAGGAUAAACCACAACUCCAUCGAAGCCAUCCAUUCAGAAAUCCCGGACCACUUGGAUGAGCAAGUGCAAUGUUUCUGUCUAAAGUGGUGGAAGCCAAGGAGACCAGAUCCACCAGGGAUGGUGAGGAGCAGGGUUACCUUCUCCCCAACUGGCUUGACACCGUGGAACUGUGGGACACAGUGACAGGCAGGCUGCCUUCCUGGCCCGGGGAGACAAAGGCCAAGGAGCACUUGCCUGAGAAACUGAGGACCUGAAAGAGACUUGCCUGCUGGCUGAAGAGAGCGUUGCAGUGGGACAUGGACUGUAUCCUUACUGCUUGCUGAUCCCGACUUGUGGUAAUCUCUUAACGUCCCUAAUAAACCUUCUGAAUUGUGAA